rnacentral:lncRNA from 1 species
UGUUUAGGUAUAUGGCGGGUCUGGACACGCACUGGGCGGGCUUCCGCUAUGUCUCGGGGCGUGACAGUAUUGAAGUUGAAGGUGUAGUUGAGGGCGGAGCUCAUAUGGAGGUUGAUCAUGAUGGCAGAGAUGAUGUUGGAGAUAAGGGUGGAGUUUAUAGAAUGGCCGAUGAUGUUGGAGAUGAUAUGUAAGAUAAAGGUAAAGUUUAUGCAAGGGCUGAUAAUGUUGGAGAUGAUGGGGAGGAUGAUGUUGUUGAUGAAUCAGAGAGGUUAUCUACUAAAAAAAGAACUUAUUUU